CUUACGGGGGGCAGCAGUGGGGAAUAUUGGACAAUGGGGGCAACCCUGAUCCAGCCAUGCCGCGUGUGUGAAGAAGGCCCUCGGGUUGUAAAGCACUUUCAGUGAGGAAGAACGCCUUGUGGUUAAUACCCAUCAGGAAAGACAUCACUCACAGAAGAAGCACCGGCUAACUCCGUGCCAGCAGCCGCGGUAAUACGGAGGGUGCGAGCGUUAAUCGGAAUUACUGGGCGUAAAGCGCGCGUAGGUGGCUUGAUAAGCCGGUUGUGAAAGCCCCGGGCUCAACCUGGGAACGGCAUCCGGAACUGUCAAGCUAGAGUGCAGGAGAGGAAGGUAGAAUUCCCGGUGUAGCGGUGAAAUGCGUAGAGAUCGGGAGGAAUACCAGUGGCGAAGGCGGCCUUCUGGACUGACACUGACACUGAGGUGCGAAAGCGUGGGUAGCAAACAGGAUUAGAUACCCCUGUAGUC
rnacentral:rRNA from 1 species